GUGUCAGCCGCCGCGGUAAUACGUAGGUGGCGAGCGUUGUCCGGAAUUACUGGGUGUAAAGGGCGCGUAGGCGGGGAUGCAAGUCAGAUGUGAAAUUCCGGGGCUUAACCCCGGGGCUGCAUCUGAAACUGUAUCUCUUGAGUGCUGGAGAGGAAAGCGGAAUUCCUAGUGUAGCGGUGAGAUGCGUAGAGAUUAGGAGGAACACCAGUGGCGAAGGCGACUUUCUGGACAGCAACUGACGCUGAGGCGCGAGAGCGUGGGGAGCAAACAGGAUUAGAUACCCUGGUAGUCCACGCUGUAAACGAUGGAUACUAGGUGUAGGAGGUAUCGACCCCUUCUGUGCCAUAGUUAACACAAUAAGUAUCCCACCUGGGGAGUACGGCCGCAAGGCUGAAACUCAAAGAAAUUGACGG
rnacentral:rRNA from 1 species